UUAAUUAAGAGUUUGAUCCUAGCUCAGGAUGAACGCUGGCGGCGUGGAUAAGGCAUGCAAGUCGAACGCCCUCUUCGGAGGGAGUGGCGAACUGGGUAGUAACAGGUGGGUAUGAACUCAAGAGUCAGGAAUAGCUUAUCGAAAGGUAAGGUAAUACUUGAUAUCCCUACGGGGGAAAGAUUUAUCGCUCUUGAAUCAGCCUGCUUAGUAUCAGCUAGUUGGUGAGAUAAAAGCUCACCAAGGCUAUGACGCUUAGGGGAGGUGAGAGCCUGACCCCCACCAUUGGAACUGAGACACUGUCCAAACUCCUACGGGAGGCUGCAGUCGAGAAUCUUCCGCAAUGCACGAAAGUGUGACGGAGCGACGCCGCGUGAUUGAUGAAGCUCUUCGGAGUGUAAAAGUCUUUUAUAGGUGAAGAAGUUUAUUGACAUUAACCUAUGAAUAAGAGGCUGCUAACCUCGUGCCAGCAGCAGCGGUAAUACGAGGGCCUCAAGCGUUAUCCGGAAUUAUUGGGCGUAAAGGGUGUGUAGGCGGUAUAGUUAGUCUUAUGUUAAAGCCUCAGGCUCAACCUGAGAGAUGCAUAGGAAACGGCUAAACUAGAGUGUGUGAGGGGUGAAUGGAACUCAUAGUGUAGGGGUGAAAUCCGUUGAUAUUAUGGGGAACACCAAAAGCGAAGGCAAUUCACUGGCACAUCACUGACGCUGAGACACGAAAGCGUAGGUAGCGAAAGGGAUUAGAUACCCCUGUAGUCUACGCCCUAAACGUUGUUCACUAGCUUUUCGGAGUAUCGACCCUCUGAGAGGCACAGCUAACGCGUUAAGUGGACCGCCUGGGUAGUACGAGCGCAAGCUUAAAACUCAAAGGAAUAGACGGGGACUCGCACAAGCGGUGGAUCACGUGGCUUAAUUCGACAAUCCACGAAGAACCUCACCAAGGCUAGACAUUUAGCUUAUGCCGUCCUAGAAACAGGAAGGCCUAUCGGCUAAACAGGUGUUGCAUGGCCGUCGUCAGUUCGUGACUUGAGUUGUUCUCUUAAGUGAGGAAACGAACGUAACCCUUAUCGUCUGUUAUACGUGUCAGACGAGACCGCCCAGCACUUUGAGCACAAGCUCAAAGAAUUUUCAAUUUUCAAUUUUCAAACAAUUUCCAAUGUUUCAAUUUGAGAAUUUUUCAAACAACGAAUUUUUGCAAAGCAAAAAUUCGUCAAAUAAAAAUUUAUUUUUAUUGUUUGGAGAAUUUAAUCAUUAAUUCAUUAAUUCAUUGUUUAGAAAUUAGAAAUUAGAAAUUGAAAAUUCUUUGUGUCGCUUGCGAACAAAGUGUUGGGAGGAAGGUGGGGAUGACGCCAGGUCAGCAUGACCCUUGAUGCCUUGGGCUGCUCACAUGAUACAAUGGGUGUGACAACAGGUCGCGACGAGGUAACUCUGAGCCAAUCCUUAAACACAUCCCCAGUUCGGAUUGAGGGCUGAAACUCGCCCUCAUGAAGUUGGAAUCGCUAGUAAUCGCAGGUCAGCUAUACUGCGGUGAAUACGUUCUCGAGUCUUGUACUCACCGCCCGUCAACACAAGGGAGCCGGAGGUGCCCGACAGUCGUCCUAGUGGCGAACUAAGGUAAAAUCGGUAACAAGGUGUAAGUCGUAACAAGGUACGGCUACCGGAAGGUGGUCGUGGAUUAUUUCAAAA
rnacentral:rRNA from 1 species